ACUUUCCCAUCACCCUACCCUCUCCUUUUUCCCUUGGUAAGACCGGGAUGGAGAUACGGUGGCGCGUCGCUCGAGCGAGAAGAUGGGGAAACGUGCUGGCACCUUUUCUCUCUCCUCCUGACCAGCCGUUGGGCGAUAAUGAGCGCUCCUAGCUCGGAUUGGCGCCGGAACGCCAAUCCGAACGGCGUUGCUCUCGACGCCUUUUCCGUCGCUCCCCUUCUCUUCCCUCGCCUUAGCCCGCUCCUACUCCACCAACUCCACCUCUUUCUAUCUUCAAAUUAUUCCCUUCCUAUCUCUCUCUUUCUGAUCUCUCUCCGAGAGAACACGAGACCAGCAGCACAAGUUAUUCUUCCUACCGCCAACUCGUCGAGAGUUGUCGUCAGGAUCUAUCCUGGUGACGCACGCAAAGGGCGAGAGGGGUAUCCCAAUCCCCCACUAUUUUCCCAGCUAGGGUGUUAACCACGAGUACGCCCAUUAACACCCCGGAGUGGGCGGGGGCAGUUACGAGGGAAGGGAAACAAACCACGCUAAGCGUGCAGCACACUUUCGAUCUUCCUUCUUCCCAAUCUUCCGAUGUACUCUAAUGUACUUUUAGAUGAUCCCAUUUUUUUCUCGAAAUAUUUUUAAGAUUCCUUGAUAAUUUUAUUAGAGAAUUUAGACAUUCGUUUAUUCGUCGAUUACUUCGUAUUUAGACCGAGGACAUCGAUGUUUGCAACGAUAUCUUGUAUCUUGGAUCACUUAUUGGAUAUACAUGUAAUAGCAAUAAUCUUGUUAUCCUGAUCACGUUCGAAAAACAUUCUCAAGACCAUGUAUUUCGAAAUCAGUAAUGGGAAUAAAGUAUCCCAAGUUCACAAUAGAAGUGUUCGAGAAGAGUUUAUUUUGCUUGAUCUUCAUUCCAGGUUGAAAAGCUGACAUUGAAAAAACUUUAUUUGCGGCUUGGCUGGCUGACUGACUGACUGGGUGGCUGGUUGGUUGGCUUGCCUUUUCCGUGGAAACUCGGUUGAAAAGUUUAAUCGUGCCAAAAUUCGCACGACCCAGCAAUGCGAAACUCUCUUUCUUUCUCUGUCCUGUCCGUCUGUCUUUCUGUCUCUGUCAAGCGUAUUGGCUCGCGUUUAACACGUACGAAAAUGAGGAACGGAGGGGAAGCUUUUAGCUCCGCCUAUUGGGUUCCUCCACUCUUGGAGUUAAGUUCAGCAACGGUCUCUCGCGUAGGUGCCCCCACUCCUCGGGCUAUUCACCCGGCGCCUUUCACGUUCCUCCGCGUUUGCCUUCCCCGCCGUUGGUUACGCCCACUUUAUCCCACCCCGGAACCAACUCUCUCAACUGACAUCACCACCACCAGCACACCACUAUCAGCUUUGCUGCUACGGACGUUACGUCGAGCACGACUUUUUCUACUUGCCGAGACCUCCUCGUCGUUCGUCCUUCGCGCCGCGGAGUGUUGCUGAGACGCCCAACAUCGCGUCGCAGUGUUGCCAAAUCCGCGAAAGCUUUUCCAUCCGUGCGAGACUCUUCCUCUUCAUUCUGAUGAUCUUUGCGAGAUUUUUUCUUUUCCCAACUGUCACUGAUUAUCUCUGUUCAUCCCUACUUCUCUCUCUCUCUCUUUUUCUGUAUCUCCGAUAUAAGAUCGAAGGAAAGAAGAACAUCGUGGGACUGAGACGACUCAGUGGCAAAGAGGAUGAGGUUGAACGGUGGCGAUCGAUGCCACGUUAGAGUAGCUGGUCUUUACACGAUCCAAAGGUAGUAGUAGCCUUCGGAAAAGGCCCGAGAGUUUCUAUUCGAAGCCGGAGAAGAGUAGAAAAAAAGAAAAGCAAAUAACGAAAAAAAAAAAAAUGAAGAUAGGGAAAGAGAGGAAGGGGAACGUGGAGGAGAUCGGGUAUUCCGUGCGUUCGUCGCGCACGGAAUACGUUCAAAACGAAGAGAGAGAGAGAGAGAGAGAGUGAGAGGGAGAGAGAAAAGAGAGAAAAAGGGCUGUAAGAGUGGGGGUAGUUUAGAUGCCCUCUACAUACACGUCCAACGUCGUAGCAGAAAACGACCUAGCCAAGCGGGUUGUGCUGUUGAAAGAAGACGGAGAGAACAAAUUCAAGCUUGCUGAGGUUACUCGGACCAACCUCCUUCUCUUGUUCCUUUUCCUUUUGGUUUCUCGGAGCUCGAGCGGAGGAUGUCGUCAGGCCUGCCGGCCGGCCGGGCCCGUCCACGUAAAAAGCACAAGACAUGCAUUUCAUUUGCCGCUCGUGUCGAGCCCCUGUUCUUCUUUACGUCCCGCCGAUUCCGAGCGGCGAACUCUCUUGGAUCUGAGAAUGGGCCAGCCAGCAGGGCCAGCCAGCCAGCUAGCAGGGCCAGCCAGCCAGCCAGCCAGCAGGGCCGGUCAGAGGGGGACGGACGACUCGCAUCAGACCGACCUAAACCGAAUCACUAUGUCACGACGACGACGACGAGGACGAAGACGACGAGGACGAUGAGGAUGAGGAGACGACGACAGAGUUGCUGCUAUGGACGAAUAUACAGUGACUCACGAAAGUAUUUGAACAUUUGCCCCGAAACCAUUUCGCGGAUCGGUGAUAUCUACAAAUAAAGGAUGAGAAGCGGAAAGAGAAAAAGAAGAAGAAGUAGAAGAAGAAGAUGAAGAUGAAGAAGAUGAAAGAAGGAAGAGAAUUUCGAUCCGUUUAACGAGAUCAGCUCGAGCGAAAAAAAGGAAUGGAAAGAACAUUUCCAGAUCUUAUUUUUUUUUUUUUAUAUAUAUAUACA